CGUUGUUCGGAAUUACUGGGCGUAAAGGGCGCGUAGGCGGCCCUCUAAGUCAGACGUGAAAUCCCUCGGCUCAACCGGGGAACUGCGUCUGAGACUGGAAGGCUUGAAUUCGGGAGAGGGAUGUGGAAUUCCAGGUGUAGCGGUGAAAUGCGUAGAUAUCUGGAGGAACACCGGUGGCGAAGGCGACGUCCUGGACCGGCAUUGACGCUGAGGAGCGAAAGCCAGGGGAGCAAACGGG
rnacentral:rRNA from 1 species